rnacentral:rRNA from 1 species
CAGCAGUCGCGGUAAUACAGAGGGUGCGAGCGUUAAUCGGAUUUACUGGGCGUAAAGCGUGCGUAGGCGGCUUCUUAAGUCGGAUGUGAAAUCCCUGAGCUUAACUUAGGAAUUGCAUUCGAUACUGGGAAGCUAGAGUAUGGGAGAGGAUGGUAGAAUUCCAGGUGUAGCGGUGAAAUGCGUAGAGAUCUGGAGGAAUACCGAUGGCGAAGGCAGCCAUCUGGCCUAAUACUGACGCUGAGGUACGAAAGCAUGGGGAGCAAACAGGAUUAGAGACCCCCGUAGUCCCUGUCUCUUAUAC